rnacentral:rRNA from 1 species
CACGUAGGGCGCAAGCGUUGUCCGGAAUUAUUGGGCGUAAAGAGCUCGUAGGCGGUCUGUUACGUCUGCUGUGAAAACUCGGGGCUUAACCCCGAGCCUGCAGUGGAUACGGGCAGACUAGAGGUAGGUAGGGGAGAAUGGAAUUCCCGGUGUAGCGGUGAAAUGCGCAGAUAUCGGGAGGAACACCGGUGGCGAAGGCGGUUCUCUGGGCCUUACCUGACGCUGAGGCGCGAAAGCUAGGGGAGCAAACAGG